GCCUGAGUGGCUCAGUCGGUUAAGCAUCCGACUUCAGCUCAGGUCAUGAUCUCACAGUUCGUGAGUUCAAGCCCCGCAUCAGGCU
rnacentral:tRNA from 1 species